ensembl:lncRNA
CCAUCUAAUUUCCACCAAUGCAGCUUUAUGUUCCACGUGGUCUCUGGGGGCCUUUGGGGGCCGCGGCCCCCAGAGGAGGGAGUCCUGCACUCUGCAGAGACAGAAAGUCAUUUUUUCAGAAUGCCACAAAACACUCACACACACACACACACACACACACACACACACUCGCUGUGCGACCCCCAUCGGUGGAACGUGUGUGGUCAGUGGGCCCAAAAGAACCCGGUCACGUUCCUGCAAGAGGCAGUAAAACAUUAUAUAUACACAUAUAUGCACAUAUAUAUAUAUACACACACAUGUGCACGUGUGCGUGUUGAAGCCUCCUGAGGU